rnacentral:tRNA from 1 species
GGGAUGACGAGGCGGGACAUCAGGUUUCUGACUCUUAAUCAGCCGGUUGGAGGUUCGAGUCCUCCGCGGCUCA